CCUACGGGUGGCAGCAGUGGGGAAUAUUGCUCAAUGGGGGAAACCCUGAAGCAGCAACGCCGCGUGAAGGAAGAAGGUUCUAGGGUUGUAAACUCCUUUUGUGAGGGAAGAUAAUAACGGUAUACCAGUCAAAAGCGCCAGCUAACUCCGUGCCAGCAGCGGCGGUAAUACGGAGGGUGCAAGCGUUACUCGGAAUCACUGGGGGUAAAGAGGGCGCAGGCGGGCUGAUAAGUCAGAUGUGAAAUCCUGUAGCUUAACCACAGAACUGCAUUUGAAACUAUGAGUCUAGAGUGUGGGAGAGGUAGGUGGAAUUCUUGGUGUAGGGGUAAAAUCCGUAGAUAUCAAGAGGAAUACUCAUUGCGAAGGCGACCUACUGGAACAUUACUGACGCUCAGGCACGAAAGCGUGGGGAGCAAACAGGAUUAGAUACCCCUGUAGUC
rnacentral:rRNA from 1 species